CCUACGGGCGGCAGCAGUGGGGAGUAUUGCACAAUGGGCGCAAGCCUGAUGCAGCCAUGCCGCGUGUGUGAAGAAGGCCUUCGGGUUGUAAAGCACUUUCAGCGGGGAGGAAGGCGUUAAGGUUAAUAACCUUGGCGAUUGACGUUACCCGCAGAAGAAGCACCGGCUAACUCCGUGCCAGCAGCCGCGGUAAUACGGAGGGUGCAAGCGUUGAUCGGAAUUACUGGGCGUAAAGCGCACGCAGGCGGUCUGUCAAGUCGGAUGUGAAAUCCCCGGGCUCAACCUGGGAACUGCAUUCGAAACUGGCAGGCUAGAGUCUUGUAGAGGGGGGUAGAAUUCCAGGUGUAGCGGUGAAAUGCGUAGAGAUCUGGAGGAAUACCGGUGGCGAAGGCGGCCCCCUGGACAAAGACUGACGCUCAGGUGCGAAAGCGUGGGGAGCAAACAGGAUUAGAUACCCCGGUAGUC
rnacentral:rRNA from 1 species